UUGCGACCCCAGUCAGGCGGGAUUACCCGCUGAGUUU
rnacentral:rRNA from 1 species